rnacentral:rRNA from 1 species
UACAGAGGUCUCAAGCGUUGUUCGGAUUCAUUGGGCGUAAAGGGUGCGUAGGUGGCGGGGUAAGUCAGGUGUGAAAUCUCGGAGCUCAACUCCGAAACUGCAUUCGAUACUGCGGUGCUUGAGGAGCUGGAGAGGAGACUGGAAUUCAUGGUGUAGCAGUGAAAUGCGUAGAGAUCAUGAGGAAGACCAGUGGCGAAGGCGGGUCUCUGGACAGUCCUGACACUGAGACACGAAGGCCAGGGGAGCAAACGGG